CAGCCGCCGCGGUAAUACGGAGGGGGCUAGCGUUGUUCGGAAUUACUGGGCGUAAAGCGCACGUAGGCGGCUUGGUAAGUUAGAGGUGAAAGCCCGGAGCUCAACUCCGGAAUUGCCUUUAAGACUGCCGAGCUAGUAGGUGAGAGAGGUAAGUGGAAUUCUGAGUGUAGAGGUGAAAUUCGUAGAUAUUCGGAAGAACACCAGUGGCGAAGGCGGCUCACUGGACGACUGUUGACGCUGAGGUGCGAAAGCGUGGGGAGCAAACAGGAUUAGAUACCCCCGUAGUCCCUGUCUCUUAUAC
rnacentral:rRNA from 1 species